rnacentral:rRNA from 1 species
AACGGACGCUGGCGGCAUGCCUAAUACAUGCAAGUCGAACGAGAUCUUCGGAUCUAGUGGCGCACGGGUGCGUAACGCGUGGGAAUCUACCCUUGGGUUCGGAAUAACAGUUAGAAAUGACUGCUAAUACCGGAUGAUGACGUAAGUCUAAAGAUUUAUCGCCCAAGGAUGAGCCCGCGUAGGAUUAGCUAGUUGGUGGGGUAAAGGCCUACCAAGGCUACGAUCCUUAGCUGGUCUGAGAGGAUGAUCAGCCACACUGGGACUGAGACACGGCCCAGACUCCUACGGGAGGCAGCAGUAGGGAAUAUUGGACAAUGGGGGAAACCCUGAUCCAGCAAUGCCGCGUGAGCGAUGAAGGCCUUAGGGUUGUAAAGCUCUUUUACCCGGGAUGAUAAUGACAGUACCGGGAGAAUAAGCCCCGGCUAACUCCGUGCCAGCCGCCGCCGUAA